AACGAACGCUGGCGGCAGGCUUAACACAUGCAAGUCGAACGCUCCGCAAGGAGAGUGGCAGACGGGUGAGUAACGCGUGGGAAUCUACCCAGAUCUACGGAACAACAGUUGGAAACGACUGCUAAUACCGUAUACGCCCUACGGGGGAAAGAUUUAUCGGAUUUGGAUGAGCCCGCGUAAGAUUAGCUAGUUGGUGGGGU
rnacentral:rRNA from 1 species